UACGGAGGGAGCUAGCGUUGUUCGGAAUUACUGGGCGUAAAGCGCACGUAGGCGGCUUUGUAAGUUAGAGGUGAAAGCCCGGGGCUCAACUCCGGAACUGCCCUUAAGACUGCAUCGCUUGAAUCCAGGAGAGGUGAGUGGAAUUCCGAGUGUAGAGGUGAAAUUCGUAGAUAUUCGGAAGAACACCAGUGGCGAAGGCGACUCACUGGACAACUGUUGACGCUGAGGUGCGAAAGCGUGGGGAGCAAACAGG
rnacentral:rRNA from 1 species